rnacentral:rRNA from 1 species
UGGGGAAUUUUGGACAAUGGGCGAAAGCCUGAUCCAGCAAUGCCGCGUGUGUGAAGAAGGCCUUCGGGUUGUAAAGCACUUUUGUCCGGAAAGAAAUCCUUGGCUCUAAUACAGUCGGGGGAUGACGGUACCGGAAGAAUAAGCACCGGCUAACUACGUGCCAGCAGCCGCGGUAAUACGUAGGGUGCAAGCGUUAAUCGGAAUUACUGGGCGUAAAGCGUGCGCAGGCGGUUUGCUAAGACCGAUGUGAAAUCCCCGGGCUCAACCUGGGAACUGCAUUGGUGACUGGCAGGCUAGAGUAUGGCAGAGGGGGGUAGAAUUCCACGUGUAGCAGUGAAAUGCGUAGAGAUGUGGAGGAAUACCGAUGGCGAAGGCAGCCCCUGGGCCAAUACUGACGCUCAUGCACGAAAGCGUGGGGAGCAAACAGGAUUAGAUACCCUGGUAGUCCACGCCCUAAACGAUGUCAACUAGUUGUUGGGGAUUCAUUCCUUAGUAACGUAGCUAACGCGUGAAGUUGACCGCCUGGGGAGUACGGUCGCAAGAUUAAAACUCAAAUGAAUUGACGGGGUCAUAGCUGUUUCCU